rnacentral:rRNA from 1 species
ACUACGGGAGGCAGCAGUGAGGAAUAUUGGUCAAUGGGCGCGAGCCUGAACCAGCCAAGUAGCGUGAAGGAUGACUGCCCUACGGGUUGUAAACUUCUUUUAUAAAGGAAUAAAGUGAGGCACGUGUGCCUUUUUGUAUGUACUUUAUGAAUAAGGAUCGGCUAACUCCGUGCCAGCAGCCGCGGUAAUACGGAGGAUCCGCGCGUUAUCCGGAUUUAUUGGGUUUAAAGUGGGCGUAAAUGGUGUGUUAAGUCAGUUGUGAAAGUUUGCGGCUCAACCGUAAAAUUGCAAUUGAUACUGGCAGUCUUGAGUACAGUUGAGGUAGGCGGAAUUCGUGGUGUAGCGGUGAAAUGCUUAGAUAUCACGAAGAACUCCGAUUGCGAAGGCAGCUUACUAAACUGCCACUGACAUUGAUGCUCGAAAGUGUGGGUAUCAAACAGGAUUAGAUACCCCUGUAGUC